UAUCCCAAAUUUCCAGCUCAUUAUCCCAAAUUCCAGCUCAUUAUCCCAAAUUUCCAGUUCAUUAUCCCGAAUUCCAGCUCAAUAUCCCGAAUUUCCAGCUCAAUAUCCCGAAUUUCCAGCUCAUUAUCCCAAAUUUUGGCUCCGUCCCUUCCUUCCCAUCCGUUAUCCCAAAGCUCUUCCCGGCUCCUCCUUUCCCAUGAAUUUUUUGGGACCCAAAUCCCAAAAUCCCAUCCCCUUUAUCCAAUCCCAAUCCCAAAAUCCCAAAUUUACCCAAAUUCCCAACAUUUUCUCCUCUUUUUCUUUGGGAAAAAAAACCUGGAAAUAACGGAAUUUCCUUGGGAAUUCCAUGGAUUUAUUUAUAAUAUUUACAAAUCCCAAGGAAAAAAAAAAAAGGGAAUUUUUCCAUCGGGACAUUCCCAAACCCAUUGGAAUUCCCAAAAAUCUCCCCCCUGGGAAACAGGAUGGGAAUUCUUGGAAUAUUUUGGGAAUUUGCUGCUCUGGGCACCGGAUCCACCCAGAAAUUCCAGGAAUUUUGGGAAUUUCGCACCCAGGGCAUCAAAUCCAAAUGAGAAUUUUGGGAAUUUUUUGCUCAGGGCAUCAAAUCCCACCUGGAAUUCCAGAAAUUUCCUGGGAACACCUCCGGCAUUUCCGGCUCCGGGGGAAUUCCCUGUUUUCUGGAGGAUUUUCUGGAAGUUUCCCCGGAUUUUCCAGGCGGUUUUUCCCAGAUUUUCCACAUGUUUUUUCCGGAUUUUCCUGGAGAUUUUCCCGGAUUUUCCAGGUGGUUUUUCCCAUUUUUUCCAGGUGGUUUUUCCGGAUUUUCCUGGAGAUUUUCCCAGAUUUUCCAGGAAGUUUUUCCUGGGAUUUUCCAGGUAUUUUCCCCAGAUUUUCCAGGAUGUUUUUCUGGGAUUUUCCAGGCAGUUUUCCCCGGAUUUUCCAGGUGUUUUCCUGGCGUUUUUCUGGGAUUUUCUCUGGGAUUUUCCUGGCGUUUUUUUCCGGGAUUUUCUCUGGAAUUUUCUGGGAUUUUCUCUGGGAUUUUCCAGGCGUUUUUUCCGGGAUUUUCUCUGGGAUUUUCCAGGAUGUUUUCCCUGAUUUUCCAGGCAUGUGUUUUCCCGGAUUUUCCCGACGUUUUUCCGGGAUUUUCAGUACCCGGAGGACCCGGG
rnacentral:lncRNA from 1 species